AGAGAAAGGGCAUAGAGGGUACCAAAAGAGAAAGAGUAGAGAUAGAUCUCUCAAUCGUGUUUCACCACCCCUUUUUGUCAAAGAGUAGAGAUAGGUUUAAAUUUCGGUCUUUCCAAUAAUAUAUUUUGUUCUAAUAACUAGCGAUUUUUUUUUUCACUGCCAUUUUUUGUAUUUGUUUCUUUUAAUUUCAUUCUAUUUAGAGUGCCGCAUAUUGCACUCCAUUUGCUUGCUAGUUUAAUAUUUACACUAUGAUGGUGAGAUUUUUUUUAUUUUUUUUUACUUCUUAUAUGAUGGUGGUGACUGGUGGUCAGAUUGGUGAAUGACUAAAAAUGAAAUAUCAAAUAUCGUCGACAUUAGAGAAAUAUCUAAUCUGUAAUUAGCACCAAAAAUUGGUGCAACUGCCACCCCUCACACAUCUUUCAUUCAUUCACCCUUAAACCCUUCUUCUUACACCCUACUUCUCAAAAACACCACAAUUUCACUUCGACAAACUAUCAAACAUGUCGUGUGCAGAUAAAUUCCCUGUAAGUUCUUCUUCUCUUUCAUCUUCUUCUUCUUCUUCUUCUUCUUCAAAAUUUGUUACCACCAUUUUCACAAAACCCCUCUUGGGUCCAUUUCCAAUGCUUAAUCCAAGAUGGGUUUAUCCCCGUCUUACUUGUUUCCUUUCAAAUACUCCACAUUUACCCACUAAAGCUUCUUCUUUUAUUAACAACAACACAGAGGGGAAAAAAGAAGAUAAAGAAAGUGUUGUAACAACGAUUGUGAAGUCUUUGGCUUUGUCUGAUGAUGUUGAAGAUACUCUUGAGUUGUUUGGUGAGAAUCUGAGUUUAAAAGAAAUUACUGUUAUUCUAAGAUUACAGGAAAAUUGGGAACGUGCUGUUAGGGCUUUUAAGUGGUUUAAAUCUAAGGAAGGUUAUGUUCAUAAUGCAAUUCAUUAUAAUGUUGUGCUUAGGAUUCUUGGUAGGGCUCAACAAUGGGACGAAUUGAGGCUUUGUUGGAUAGAUAUGGCGAAAAACAAUGUUUUGCCUACAAAUAAUACUUAUAGUAUGCUUGUUGAUUGUUAUGGUAAAGCGGGUCUUGCGAAAGAGGCUCUUUUGUGGAUUAAGCAUAUGAUGAUGAGAGGAUUUUUCCCUGAUGAGGUUACCAUGAGUACUGUUGUUAAGGUUUUGAAGGAAGUUAGGGAGUUUGAUAGGGCUGAUAGGUUUUACAAGAAUUGGCAUGGUGGGAAAGUUGACUUGGAUGAUCUUGAUUUUGAUACUUCUUCGGCGUUUACUACUGCUGAUGGUUCUAAAUCAUCGGUGCCUAUUAGUUUAAAGCAGUUUCUUUCCACUGAGCUCUUUAAGAUAGGUGGAGGUAUUCGAGAUUCUAAUGAUAUAGAGAAUCAGAAUCCUCUAAGUACAUUCACUUACAAUACCUUGAUAGAUUUGUACGGCAAGGCUGGACGACUCCAAGAUGCUGCUGAUGUCUUCGUUGAUAUGAUGAAAUCUGGAGUGGCAUUGGAUAGUUGCACUUUUAAUACUAUGAUCUCUAUUAGUGGAAGGCAUGGCAAUUUGUUGGAAGCUGAAUCUUUGCUUGUUAAAAUGGAAGAGAAGGGUAUAUCCCCUAAUACGAGAACUUAUAACAUUUUGUUGUCUUUGUAUGCUAAUGCGGGCAAUAUUGAUGCUGCUGUUUCUUGUUACAGAAGGAUUGAAGAGGCUGGGCUCGUCCCAAAUGUUGUAACAUACAUAGCUCUUUUUGGUGUUUUAUGCACGGAGAAUAUGGUUCAGGUUGUGGAAGCUGUGAUUGAUGAAAUGGAGAAAUCUUCUGUUUCCAUUAAUGAGCGUUCUCUUCUCGAUAUUGUGAAGAUGUAUGUUAAUGCAGGAGAUCUUGAUAAAGCAAAUGACUUGCUUGAAAAGUUUCAAAUGAAUUGGGAACCGUCAUCCAAGAUAUGUGCUUCAAUUAUGGAUGCUUUUGCUGAGAAGGGAUAUUGGGCCGAAGCGGAGAGUAUGUUUUAUAGGAAAAGGGACAUGGCACAACUACAGAAGAGGGAUAUUGUAGAGUUCAAUGUCAUGAUCAAAGCAUAUGGCAAAGCAAAACUUUAUGACAAAGCCGUUUCUCUGUUUGAAGAAAUGAAGAAUCAAGGAGUUUGGCCUAAUGAUAAUACAUAUCGUUCUAUUAUUCAAAUGUUAUCUGGUGCUGAUUUAGUGGACCAAGCAAGGAGCCUCACUGUUGAAAUGCUGGAAAUGGGGUUUAAGCCAAAUUGUAAAACUUUUUCUGCUGUUAUAGGAUGCUAUGCUCGUCUUGGUCAGCUUUCCGAGGCAGUUGAUGUGUACCAGGAAAUGCUAAGAGCCGGUGUAAAACCAAAUGAGGUUGUGUAUGGAUCUAUAAUAAAUGGAUUUGCAGAACAUGGUAGUCUUGAUGAGGCACUUCAAUAUUUCCAUUUGAUGAAAGAAUCUGGAUUAUCAGCAAAUCUAGUCGUGUUAUCGACACUCCUAAAGUCUUAUUCUAAGGUUGGUGACUUGGAAGGAGUAAAGUCCAUCUACGAGCAGAUGCAGAACAUGGAAGGAAGUCUCGAUUUAGUUGCAUCUAACAGUAUGAUUACGGCCUUUGCAGAACUCGGCUUGGUAUCCGAAGCCAAGCAGACUUUCGAAAAUUUGAAAGAGACGGGCUGCACAAACAGUACUUCAUACGAAAUAAUUAUGGAUCUUUAUAAAGAUGUCGGCCUGAUUGACGAGGCCAUCAAGAUAGCAGAGGAGAUGAAACUGUUAGGUUUGCUGAAUGAUUGUGUUUCAUAUAACAAGGUACUUAUAUGUUACGCAGUUAAUAAGCAAUAUCACGAGUGCGUCGAAUUACUACGUGAGAUGAUAUCUAAGAAGAUUUUGCUAAAUGGUAGAACUUUUAAUCUGUUAUUGACUAUACUAAAGAAGGGAGAGUUUCCUACUGAAGCAAUUGUACAGUUAGAGUCAUGUUACCAAGAGGGGAAACCUUACGCUUUGCAAGCAACCUACACUGCUAUGUACUCUUUACUUGGUAUGCAUGCUUUGGCACUUGAAUCUUGUCAAACACUCUUAGAAUCCGAGGUUGAAAAUCUUGACUCUGCUGCCUAUAAUGUGGCAAUCUAUGUAUAUACUUCAGCUGGAUAUUUUGAGAAGGCGCUGAAUAUAUACAUGAAAAUGCGGGAUAAGCGCGUGGAACCAGACAUCGUAACUCAUAUUAAUCUGGUAGUUUGUUAUGGAAAAGCUGGCAUGGUUGAAGGUGUGAAAAAGAUUCAUCGUCUAUUGGAAUAUGGAGAGAUUGAGCAGAGUGAGUCGUUAUUACAGGCUAUUAAAUAUGCCUAUAAACAUUGCAAUAGGAAAUUUCGACGAGUUAUGAGAUUCAAUUUCGACUCGGAAGAAAAUUCUGAAGAUGAAAGUGAAACUGAAUAUGACGUUGGAAGUGAAGGUGAAACUGAAUAUGACGUUGGAAGUGAAGGUGAAACUGAAUAUGACGUUAGAAGCGAAAUUGAAUAAGACUCUAAUUCUGAUGGAGACUCUCCAGGUUGGUAAAAUCACAGGGCUUCUUCAUAUAUCAAACCUGUAUAUAUUGUGGUAGUCAUGUAUUCAUACUAGGGUUUGGUUUCUAGUCGUGGGAUGGAACAAAAUAAGGAAUGAGAGACAACAAAAUUCUAAAAUUUGUUACUAAAAAAAUAGGAAUGACUUGUUAUUCUCAUACACAACAUAACUCAAUAGUCAAUACCAUAUUCUAUCUUCUCCCUUUCCAUUGUUAGUUGUUGACUAUUUUCUUGCACGCUUCUGGAUUGCGAGGUGCUCUCGCUCCAGUUAAGGAUUUCUCUCAUUGCGAGGUGCUCUCACUCCAGAUUUUGGAGCCAAAUGGAUUAUGAGCUUAGCAUAAUCUCUAAGUCUGAGAAUACUUGCUAAGUGAGCCCAGCGAGACAAGUCAGAAAGGAUCACAGUUUCAAGGUAGAUCACUUUGCUAAGCGAGCCAGUAGCAAGCCAAGUCAGAAUGGUUUGAAUUUGGAAAUCAAGACAAUUAGCUAAGCGAGCGGCAGCAAAGAGUUUCAGAAUGUAUCAGGGCUGUUACAUCAGCAGAUUUGCUAAGCGAGCAAUAUUUCGCUAAACGAAUCUAAGCAGUUCAGUGAACUUCAAGAUAACGUGGCAUUUCCCUCAACAUCCAUCUAAGCAAAGCCUAUUUCGCAAAGCGAAUGCGCACCUUUUGAUUUAAUAUAAAUAGAUUUUAAAAUGAUUUUUUCAUUUAUCUCUUGUAUCAUAGAACUAGAAUUACAAAAGAGAAAGCAUAGAGAAUAAAGUUUUCCACCAUUGGAGAGCAUUUGGUCUUGAUUCUCAAGCAUUGGAUGCAACUCCAUCUCAUUUCUUUACUAUGAGUGUUUGUACCUAAAUUUCUGUGUUAGAGAUUAUGUUUAGUUAGCUAGGAUUUUGAUGUAAAUAAUUAAUCUGAAUGAUUAUAUAUAAUCUUUGUUUCAGUAUUUUAUUGUGAUUGUCCAUACAGAAAAAAAGAAAAAAAAAAAAAACUCUGGCUUUAAAUUGAGCCCCGCAAGUGGGCAAUGUGAUUGGUCCAAUUGGAUUAGUCGGUCCUAGGGCCGGAUAACAAGUUUUCAAAAAAAGAAAGUAUUUUAUUGUGAUUUA